UGCCUCUUUUCUCAAUUGCGUUUAGGGUUUUCCAACCCGUGUGUGUUUUAGGAGAUGGGGCGGAUCCGGGUCACACUGACCCGACCCGGUCCGGCCCCAAUGUUUUUUAUUUUAUUUCAGUUCCUUAAAUUAAUUUGGGCCAUACACCUCCAGUCUGAGUUUUAGCACCCCUGGCCCACUUAAAUUAGUUUUUAACUAAUUCUCCUUUUAUUUUAUUUUUCUAUAAAUAUUUUCAUGAGUUUAAGUUAUUUUUAUUUUAAUGUAGGAUUUUAAGUUCUUUUUUUUUCUAAUCCUUUUUUAAAAAAAAUGACAAAAAUAUGUUGUGAGAUUUAAGUUUUCUUAGAAAUAUUUUUAAUAUGUUUAGAAGUAUGUUUUUCUAAAGAUAUUAAAAAACACAAAAAUAUUUUAGAUGCAUAUUUAACUUUAUGUUUUCUAAUUAUUUUCUUCUUUUCAUGAAAAAUCACAAAAAAUAUCUUCUUUUAGAAUUAAUUUUAUUUAAUAUUUUCAUAUAAUUUUGUGUAGCUAAUCAUUUAAAUUUUUAAUUGAUUACUGUUGCAUAUUACUUGAAUUUUCUAACUUUAUCCGAGACUUCGAGAUUAUUUCUCUGUUGUUCUCUGUUUGUUUGGUCUUCCAUUUGCUGUAGAACUCCAUAAACAAUUACUGGAUGAUCAUGGAAUUGCUGAAAGCUGUGAGCUUAUUCGACGUUUCUUUUCUGCUGGUGUGGAUGCUUAACAUUUGUUUAGAUCCUAAUUUAUUCCAAGCACAUCACUUGAAGAUCACAAUAACACCUCAAACUCAGAAAUCCAAUUUUCUCAUUCUUCGAGGUAAGCCUAAAACUCAAUCAACUGUUUUCACAACAGUAAUCAAUUCACUUUCAAACCAUGCAACUCAUUUCCAAAACGAAGUGGGGCCUCUCGAAUAUUAGAGAGUAUAAGUCCCUUUCGUCUUUCUUUGUACAGUUUUUGUUUUAACAGAAAACUUUUUUCAAAUAAACUUCCAAACAGUUUUUUUAACAAACAAAUCUUUCAACUCUUUUUUAAACCAUCCACCAUGUUUUAUGAAAAUAAAACAGGGGCCUCUCGAAUAUUAGAGAGUAUAAGACCCACUCCUUUUUUCUUUUUACACAGUCUUUUUAUUCAAAAUAAAUAAACUUUCUUUCAGAACAAACUUUCAAACCGUUUUUCAAACAACGCGACUGUAAAUAAAACGAUCAACCAUGUUUUGUAAAUAAAACACGGGCCUCCACGUAGGUAUAAGUCCCAAGCCCCUUUUGUACAUACCCAUUCCAGUACAUGAAAUUAGGUAUUUCAUUGUACGCCUUUUGUACACAGCUCGAUCUGUUCUUUUUAACUUUGAAUAACAAACCAAAAACGAAGGUUUCUUUAAAUCUUCCCAAAAAAAUAUACCAUGGGCCUCCAUGUAGGUAUAAGUCCCAAGCCCUUUUGUAAAUACCUGUUUACAUAGCUUUGAAUAAACUCAAAUGGACCUCUCCCCGAGUGUGAGUCCCGAGCCCUGUGUAUACAAAUGGAUCAUGCUUACAGGUAUAUUUCCUUCAUAAACUCCAUUAUAUACACACACUUUGUCAUAUAUGUAUAACUGUUCAUAGUUGUUCAUGUACUUGUUAAUGUUUGUUCAUACUUGUUCAUACUUGUGAUUGUGUUAUAUGCUUAUUCAACUUAGUACAACACUAGGUUCCCCAUAGCCUCCUAUUGGGCUUCGUGCAAAGAAUCUCCACUAGUUUAGGUUAGGACAUAGAGUAUGGUUUCCCGGUGAAAUCGCUCUAAGAACUCAAACCAACUAUACCAUGCCUCCCCUUGGGCUUUGUACAAACGAGUGACCCUCCCAUAGCCUCCUCUUGGGCUUACAAUGCAAGGACCCCGGAUUGUCCCUCCCAUAGCCUCCUCUUGGGCUUACAAUGCAAGGACCCUCGGAUAGCCUCCUCUUGGGCUUCGUACAAGGACCCACGGGCUUCUUAUAAGCAUCCCCAAUAUCCAAAACAAAUACCCUAGGAGAUUAGACAUUUUUCAUCUCUAUGCUAGGAGUAUCUCUUAUAUAUCAUCACAAACAAUCAAUCAAUCAAACUUUUUUGCCACAAGGCUGGCUAAUCAAUCCAACUUUCUUUUUGCCACAAGGCUGGCUAAUCAAUCAAACUGUUUUACCACCGUACUGGAUGAUUAAUCAAAGUUUUUGUCACAAGGCUGACUUCAUUGAAACUUUUGCCACGAGGCUGGCUGAUUAAUCAAAACUUUUUGUCACAAGGCUGACUUCAUUGAAAGUUUUUGCCACAAGGCUGGUUAAACAAACAAAAACAUCUUUAUCAUUCUAAGCACCCUAAGUGGCAUGGCCCCGGGCUUAUAAUGAAAAGAUUUUCAAACAAAAUCAAACAGAUGUAUGUGAUGAUAUAGAUUAGAUACAUCUAGCAUUUAGACGACAUUUGUCUAUUUUCCUUUGCUUCCACUAGCAUAAGUGGGAACUACGAUUGCUCUGACUUUCUCAACAUCCCUUUGAGAAUACGUAGGCACAAGGUCGAUCCUUGGCGAGCAAAACAAAACAAAAAAAACCAUUCAAACCUUAGCACCCGUAGACCCCGAGCUACAGAUGCUCUGAUUCCCUCUAGGGGAUAUGUAUGCAGAGGAUCGCGAUGAUCUUUGCGAGCAUAAUCAAACAAACACCUUAGGUCCCACCUAUUUCACAAAAACCUUCACCACAACAAGAAUGGAAUAAAACAUAACAAAGAAACCUAUAGAGUACUAUAGAUACGUUGGGUGCUAAUACCUUCCCUUCGUAUAACCAACCCUCUUACCCAAAGAUCUCUCCCCCCACUUUUAGGUUAUUGCAGCUUUUUUCCUUUUCCUCCUUUGGAAAUAAUAAAAAGUUUGGUCGAAACAAAGAAAAAUCAUUUUUUUGAGCACUCGAGCCCAAAGAAGGCAUCAGGUGUCUCAUCCACAAAAAAGAGGAACAAAAACGGUUUUUCGCCCGCGACAGUUAGCACGAAUGAUGCCUUAAGUACAAUGCAAUCUUCAAGUUCAUCCUCUUGUACCAUAGUUCAACAAUGAUCUCAAAGCAAAAUCACAAUGCUUUGAGGUAAACGCUGAUGAGAGAACCUAAUUCGAUGAUCCUCAGUUGGAAACCUUUUCAAGCUCAAACACAACAGGUGAAACCUUACCUUUGGUCAACCAUAGGGAAAUAAACCCUGAUCCCAUGCCUUUUGGCUUGAAGAACCAGAAGAACCAUGUCUCAAUCGCCAUGCACGCGUCAAUCUCAUUAUGAAACCCUAAGCUUCCGAAAUCCUUGAUCCCAUGCCCAAUUUAUUGAUCAAUGAUGCAUGAUAUGUUAUAUGACCUAAUGGAGAGGUGAUGCAUAUGAAAUGAGAAGCCUAAGCCAGUUAAAAAUUAAGGGGCAGGACAAAUUUGGGGUAUGACAGCUGCCCCUACUUAAUCGUCUUAAACCUGAAGGUGAGAUUGGCGCUAGCCUUUCGAACAAUUAAGGUAGAAGAAGAUUAAAUAUCAAGACCUGAAAUUUGUCCUGAAGAAAAGAUGGUGUAAGUGUUAUCUUUAUUUUUCGUUUUUGCUUUGAUAUCUGUUGGGGAAAGAGAAUUUUUGUUUUUCUGGUGGAAGAAUUUAUGGUGAGUAAUGGUUGAAUGGUGAUAGCUUGUAACGUAGCAGUGGUGCCAAUACAAGGUUCUCAAAGGGAAUGAUUGUUGUAUGAAACUGACUGAAAGGAUAAGAUCUCGUGCGAUCCAUGACUCAACAUCGGGAGAAGAUCUCGUACGAACUUCAAGACUGAAAGAAAAGAGAUCUCGUGCGACCUAUGACUCAACAUCGGGAGAAGAUCUCGUACGAUCUUCAAGACUGAAAGGAAAAAUAUCUCGUGCGACCUAUGACUCAACAUCGGGGUGAGAAUAACAAACUCACGACUCAAGAGAAUUGAAAAAGACGAGGAUAAGGUCGACAGACCUACGAUCCAUGACUCGAAAUUAGGGUAAGAUCAACGGACCUACGACCCACAAGAAUUGAAAGAAAGAAUAGACAUCAACACUGGGGUUGGAGGACAUCAACGCGGAGGUUGGAGCAUAUCAACACUGAGGUUGGGGGACAUCAACACUGAGGUUGUGAAAGGAAAGGCGUCGACACUGAGGUCAAGGACAUCAACACUGAGGUUGGGACGAGAAAAGAUAAACAUCAACACUGAGGUUGUGAAUGACGAUCGGCAUCGACACAGAGGUCGGUGAAGGAAUGAUAGGUAUCAACACUGAGGUUGGACAAGAAAAGGAUAGACAUCAACACUGAGGUUGAAAAAGAAAGGUAACGACACUGAGGUCAAGGGAAGAAAGAAUUAAUAUCAACACUGAGGUUGGGGAUUGGGAAUUAGUUUUGAAAUGGUUUGCCAGGACGGAAGGCAGAGGAUACACAACACGGGGGUUGGAUCUAAAAGUUUUCCCGUACGAGGGAAGAGAUCACGGAGACUAGUGACGACUAGACUCGAUCAAAAGACAUCGGUAAACAUUGGAGAUUCACUGAGAUGUUGAUGCUGGCGAAGCAUAAGAAUUACAUUAAUCCCUCAGGCCAAAGGCAGGGUGUAACUCUUCAAGAGCGGAAAUCGUUCGAAUUGCCACACACCAAGUAUGGUUAUUCAAAUGAUUGAAAAAUGAGAUGGGUUGAAUGCCCACCCUCAUUCACACUCUAAUCUUCACGCAGCACGCGGGAAAUAACCUCGGAGACAACGAUUCCGACGAAGAAGGACAUUGUAUCCGAUCCACAUUGGGGAGAGAACAUGAGACUUCUUUUAGGGGUGGAAAUAGGCUAGGCUAGGCUAGGCUUUAUAAGGCCUAGGCCUGGCCUACAGUAAACUUGAAAGGCCUGAGCCUGGCCUGUGGCCUAUAAUAGGCUCUCUUUUUUGGCCUGGCCUGGCCUUUUUAAAAGCCUGGCCUGGCCUGAAAGCCUAUAUAAAAGCCUAUUUUUUAUUAUGGUUUUCAAUUAAUCCAUAUUAUUUAAGAAACCUUAUAAGCCGUCUUAUAUAUGCAUAUUUAGGUCGGUCUAUUUAGCCUUUUUUAUAAUAUAUAUACAGAUAUAGGUUUGCUUAUUUAGUCUUUUUUCUAAUAUACAUGCAAAUAUAGGUCUCUAUUCAGCCUAUUUUUAAUAUACAUGAAAAUAUAGGCCGGUCUAUAAGGCUUCAUAGGCUUUUUUAAUAGCCUAAGCCUGGCCUAUUUUAUUAAAUAGGCUUUUAAAAAAGCCUAAGCCUGGCCUUUUUGUUAAAAAAGCCUGGCCUGGCCCGGCCUUAUAUAGGCUAGGCCAUAGGCCCCUGUAGGCCGGCCUGGCCUAUUCCCACCCAUGGGGAUUGAGGAUACCAGGUAUUGGCACCAUGGUUUGAGGAGAUUUGUGAUGUAGUAACAGAUAUCAAUCGGAGUUUGUAAGGACAACAUUUUAUGUGGGGAAGUAUCAUCGUCUUGAUUGAAUGUUGAUUUGUAUUAUCUGGCUUAUGCUUUGUAUGCAUGUUUGAAUUUUUCUAUGGCGUAAUGUUCCAUUUUGAUGGGUAUGCUACGCUUUUGAUGAUGCAAUGUUAUAUGCAACGGAAACUAUAUGCAGAGUGCCAAAUAAAGGCAUUAGAGUGAUAGAGAAGCAUGAUUGUUGGAGUCCUUUGCUUGUUGUCUUGAGCUACCAAUAUGAAUCAGUAUUGGAAACCCUACAGUACCAAAGAUCUUUAUCAACCGCAUUGAGGAAUGGAAUGUGGCUUUGUUGGGGAGGAAGUGACUUCAUUUGACUUUCCCUACACCUUGAACUGCUUGGGGAUGGUGAGUUUGAGGAGAUUCCCUCGAUUCACCAUGUUGGGGAUGAGAGAUUCUGAUAAGGAGACCAGGUUGGGAGAGUGGAACAACUUCCAUGAGAAAUAAACUCAUGUGUUUGAGGAGAGACCAAAGUUCCAGGAGAAAUAAACUUCUAUGAUUGGGGAUAGACAAUAAAGCUCAGAAGAUUGUGCCCCAAGCUUCAUGUACUACGAGGGAAUUUUCCCCAAGGGAUCUUUGGAAAGAUUUGUCGAAUCUCGACGUAACUGCCCUAGAUUGACUGAACUUGAGAGAGGAUCCUCGACUUGAUUGCCCCAGAUUGGUUGAACUCAAGAGAGAUUCCCCUACUUGAUUACCCCAGAUUGAUCAAAGCUUGAAGAGAUUUAUCGACAUGAUUGCCCCAAAUACGCUGAAUUUGAGAGGUCAAACCUCGAUUCAAUUGCCCCUGAUUAGGUGUAUCUUAUUAGGAUCUUCGAGCUUUCUUUGUUUUGAAGUCAAACAAACGUGGAAACAACUUUACCACGCUCAACGGAGUCUUCAAACUCUUCCUCACAUAGUAAUCAAAGAACGCAUCAACUAUUCAUGCCCAACAGAGUUCUUUAGAGAACCUUCCCCUUGAUGGUCAACAUUUGGAAUGAUUAGCUUUACUCCUCGGAGUUCUCAAGUCUCUUGAACUUUGACAUAGUCAAGUUACUCACUGAUCCUCACCAUGGUAAUUUCCUUGAUGUUAAGCACAUAUUUGUAUGCAAAAGAAUGUUAAUUCUAAGAAUGAUGAUUCUAAUGCAAAGCCUAUGUUAGUCUUGAAGUUGUAAAACUAUUUAUGAAAUGAGGUUGCGACCUCUUGUGAAUGGAUCACUAGUUGACACAACCUCGAUUUUUGCAUAUGGAAGAUAAAGCAAGCAUACGAUACCAACAUGGAUAUGUGUUACGCUUCAUUGGGAGUCAGUUAAACACUAUCUCAUCGGAGUGCGCUUUCAAAAUAAACCCUACUUCAAUUAGGACUUUUAAGGGUUGUAACUUGGCCAGGUUCACGGUUUUGGAAACAAAGGAUUUUUAGGCUCAAAAUUAUUUGGUGCCCACCCCCUUCAUGAUGUUCUCCAAUCCUAUGUUCAAUUAACUCGACACGAGUGUUCAUCCCUCACAAGGGAUUUGGAAUGGCUGAGGAAUCAAUAAGGUUCUUUGGACAUGGCGGUCGCUCACCUUUUAUUCUUCUGAUUCAUUGUCACACGACUUUGUUCUUGCUUGGUAAUUUCAUCAUCUUUUUUUUUUUCAUCUUUUGUCAUUUUUAUUUUCAUCCUUUUCUUCUUUUUUUUUUUUUGCCAUUUCUUUUUUUGCUAUAUGUUUUUUUUACAAGUCGUGUGACCUCGCAUUAUCUUUGAUUCGUUGGCGGUGAUUGCGACUGCCUCGCUCCUUUGAUUUGAUGAAGGAUUACCACUGUGGUAUCGUCAUCUCUUGAUCUCUUGAUGGAAUAAGGAUAAUCAUUACGGUUUUGACAUUCCUCAACCUUUGGAAGGAUAACCAUUGUUGUAUCCUUAGAUGCACACCCUUUUGGUGAGUUUUGAACACUCAAUCAAGUUAAAUGAACACUACCCUGUCCCAAGGUUAAAAUUAGGGGUUUUUUCUAAUGAGAAAAGAAACUCCUACUUCAAGGCUCAACGGGGUUAUCGAGGGUCUAUCUCCCUUAUAUCUCCAGUGUUUGGGGAUUUGAAAUAAUGCCUGUACAUCCUCAGUAGGGUUUUUUAUUCAGAAAACACAUGAUUAGAGAUUUUUGCGUUUUUAUUUUUCAUCAUUCUCCCUCGGCUCUUGCCUAAGCAAGCAAUUAGUAAAGUUGAUAUCGUAAUGCUAAAAACAUUUUUUAUGAGUGAUAACGAAUGGAUUACUUCAAGACAAACAUAAGCAAUGUAUUUUUAUUUUCAUUCAGAAAUUAACAAGUUUUUACAUGCUAGCAGUGCUUAAACAAACAAUGAAAUGUUACAAAUGAGAAUGCAAUAAAGAAACUAAAUGAAUGCCAUUGUUGAGGAGACUUGACUCCGUCUGGACUUAUUGAUCUUGAAUACUUUUUGCAGUUCUUUCCAAAUACUUCAGAUUACUCCAAAAGAGAACUCCAACGAAGUCACCCAUGAGUCGUAAACUUUUGCCUUGCUUUAGGGAUUCGAGCAAUGCAAGUGAUGCAAUGCUCAAGAUAAGAGUACGUCUUGCUUAUCCCUCGUGCGGGAGCCCCAAGCAUAGUUGCUAGAGUAGUAAUCGCCAUCCUAAAUGGAAAGAAUCUUGUAUGAUCAUCAAACUCAAGAGAGCUACUAAUUGAAAUUCCAACAAACAGGGAAGUGAAUGGGCACGAGGCAAUAGAAUCACAUCAAUUUGUUUCUCAUAUUCUUCUCGUCUCUGUUAACAAGCGGAGGCUACUGAGAAGGAAAUUCUGAGAAGAGACAACUGAGAUAUGAAGUGGAACCUUGAGAAUGAGAAGCAUUGUGUAGAACACUUUUGAUUACCACAUGGAAAGAGAUUUUGACAAAGUCAUCCAGGAAUUUGUAACGCUUUUAAGGGAUUCGAACAAAGCAAAUGGUGCAAUGCUCAAGAUAGACCAGGCCUUGCUUAUCCCUCGAUCGGGAGCCCCAUGAACCUUUCAAUUUAUGUGAAGACCAUUUGGAGUGAAUGAUAUCGCUUUGGAUUCAAUGAGAUCUUGGACUUUGUGUUUCAAAAUAUUACAAUCCUCAGUUGAAUGUCCAGAUGCCCCAGAAUGGUACUCACACUUGGCGUUUAAGUCAUAUCCUUGAGGAAUCGGUGUUGGAGGGGGCUUAGCCUCCCUUAAUUGGACCAAGGAAUCAUUGAGUAAAUGAGAGAGUAGUUGACUGUAGGUCAUAGGAAUCGGGUCAAUCUUUCUCGGGGGUCUUCUCGGCCUUUGUGGACCUUGUUGUUGGUAAUUUUGGUGAUAGUUAAGAACAUGAACCUGAGGAUAAGCAGGGAGCUCUCCUUCUCUAUUCUCUGAAAUUGCAUCUGUUUCACUUUUCUCUUCUUCUGUGAAUUCGGAAGUAUUAGCCAUAUCUUGGAUUUUACCCAUCUUUAAGGCGUUUUCAAUUCGUUCUCCUACGACAACCAAACUUGAGAAUUCGGAGGAAGCACACCCAAUCAUCAUGUUCAGAUAAGGAUCUUUCAGAGUAUUCAUGAACAUGUCUACAAGCUCUCGUUCCAAAAGAGGAGGUUGGACUCUGGAAGCUAAUUCUCUCCACCUUUGUGCAUACUCUUUAAAAGACUCAUCAACCUUCUGAGUUAAACUUUGGAGUUGUAGUCUAGUAGGAGCCAUGUCACUGUUGUACUUGUAAUGCUUGAGAAAAGCCUCUGCUAGUUCAUCCCAUGUGCGGACAUGGGUUCGUUCGAGUCGUGUAUACCACUCAAGGGAUGCCCCACUUAGGCUAUCCUGAAAGAAAUGCAUUAGAAGCUUAUCCUUUUCUGCAUACGGAGCCAUCUUGUUGCAAAAUGCCUUGAUGUGACUCAUCGGACAAGUGGUACCCUUGUAUUUCUCAAAACUGGGGACUUUGAAUUUAGCAGGAAUCUUAAUAUCAGGCACUAGGCACAAAUCAAUAGCAUUUAAACCGGAGGAGCUUCGACCCUCUAAAGCAUUCAACCUUUCUUCUAGGAGAUGGAAUUUUCUCUCAUUUUCCUCGAUCGGGAAUUUGAAAGCUUCAAGUUCAGAAUCGUUCUCAUGGUGUGAAGUCUCUUUGUUAGGAAUUUCCACAUGCACGGGUUUCGACCCCCAUUAGCAACAGUGGUCGGAGUACCAUUAGCCAACUUAGCAACACUUUGUCUUAGCUCUUCUUGCCCUUGAACAACAGCAUGGAGAGUCUCCAAGAGUUGGGUAAUCCUCUCCCCCAUAAUAUCCAAGUCCUUACGAAGUUCAGCCUGAUUCUGUUCAAGAUGGUCCAUGAUUCUCUUCUGUUUAAUCCUCGUGUGAUACAGAUGUAGGGAAGUCAAAUUUGUUGAUGAAGCAGAAAUACUGUUGAAAGGGACCCCAAUUAGUUUCUGAUAGAACUAUGAAAUGUAUGAUAGUAUGAAUGCAAUGUUUCAUUUAUGAGAGAUCCUAAAGUCUUUUCAUACACUUUUGUCCUUCUUUUUUUCUUUUUUCUUUUGGAAUCAAAGCUUUUUUUGUAUAGAGUAUCUUUUUUUUCCGCUUUUCUAUUUCCUUUUUUUCUUUUUUGAAAUAGACUCUAGGAUCCCCCAUAAAUGAAGUGGAUAAAACAAUGAUGUUAUGCAAUGCCAAGGCAUGGGAUCAAGGUCCAUAUAAUCUUAGUAACCACCAUACAAACUUCUGAAUAACUGAUACAAGUCAGAUGUCACAGGAUCAAAGGUCCGACACCUUUUUGAAUACCAGGAAAACCAAUAGUCACCAACAGAACAGAAUAGUCACCAACGGUACCUGUCAUGUAUAUCCCUCCCCACUCACAGGUGAAUCUAGGUCAGGGUAGGUCAAAGAAAGCCAACAGAGGAUUGAAAGUAGGCGUAAUCAUACGAUAUUGCCUCUUUCAACCAAGCUCUGUCCGUGGAUACAUGAUCAGAUCAAUCAGACAUACGUCUUCUGCCCGUCAUGGCCACUCUAUUCCUAGUUCCUAAGGUAUCACUCAUGGCCUGGGUAUUGGGCCUUUUACCUCAUAGAAUCAUCCCAACCAACCUGCAAACAGAGAGAAAAUAUAUGGCCCCCACGGGGACCCAUAAUAUAGUCCAGAUGCAUGCGGAAAGUAAACAUGAUAUGCAAGCAAGAAAUAAACAUGAUAUGCAAGCGUAUAUAUACAAAUGCAAAACGCAUAAACAAAUAAAUAAACACCCAAUAAAAGAAACAAACAAAGGCUAGGAUCGACUCGCUAAGAAUGGACCAGCACAGGUCUAUCAACAUCCCCAGCAGAGUCGCCAGCUGUCGCAUGCUCGCGAAAAAGAACAGAGUCGCCACCAAUAUAUUUAUCCCAUAAGGGAAAGGAAUAUCAGAAAACCUAACAAAGGGUAAGAACAAGGUCUUGCGACCAGAGAAUAGGGUACGGGAGUCGGUUACGCGAGGGGAAGGUAUUAGCACCCCUCGCGCCCAUCGUACUCGAUGGUAUCCACCUAUGUUUGUUUCUAUCUAAAGGGUGUGUACUAUGUCUAUGUCUAUAUAUGAAUGCAUGCAAAAAGAAAUACGGGGAAAAGAAAGAAAUAUUUACAAAUGUGCUCGUUCAAGCCCCGCGACUUGAUGCCUACGUAUCCUUUUCAGGAAUCAGAGCGCCGUAGUUCGGCUCCAUAGUUUUGUUUGUUUUUGUGUUUUUUAGUUGGGCGGAGUUAACGUUCGCGCUCUUGCAUAAGGGAUCGCCUACGAUGCGUACGAGCGGAAAUAACAGUGCCCUUAGGUGCCAAAGAGGCAAAAGAAAAAGAAAUGAUUGGUUUGUGUCUUUUAGGGUAAUUCCAUGAUGACGAAGACCUACUACAAGGCUUCGCAUCACUUCCUUACUUUGUUUUAAAUCUGACCAUUUAUUAGUGUUUUAAGUGUUUUUGGUUGGUGUUUUUUAAGGGAAUUUUAAUUUGCGACUUAGAUCAUACCAAAAGAGUUUUGUUUUGCGUAUUUAGAGAACGCACAUCGAGGCCUACGCCACAAUCGUUUCUCUAAAUAGCGGUUAAGAAAUACAUUGAGGCCUCACACCUCAAUCAUUUCUUCUCCGCUAAGUAAAGGAAAUACAAAAAGGAGUUAUUUUGUGAAUAUUUAGAGAAUGCACAUCGAGGCCUACGCCACAAUCGUUUCUCUAAAUAACGGUUAAGAAAUACACUGAGGCCUCACGCCUCAAUCAUUUCUUCUCCGUUAAGUAGAAAAGAACAUACAUCGGGGCCUACGCCCCAAUCAUUUCUUUCCUACUAUGAAAUGUAGUAACGGUAUGAUCUUCAUCGAUAUUUAUUAAGUAUUUUAAAAGUUGAAAAGGAAAAGAAAAUGAGAGAGGGAACUAGACCUAUUUUCUAUUCUAAUAGUUGUUAUUCUAGUCUAAGUCUAAUGUUAACAUGGUAAAUUCUAAUAGGAGCAUUAAAAAGGUAUUAACAAAAUAGGCCAAAAAUAUGGCCAAAAACAAGUAACAAAAUCACACAACAAUUAUACCAAAAUUAACAUGUAAUUGAUACAAAAACAAUCCAGACAUUAGUGCAAAAUUAAACCAAAAAAUACUACUAUUUUUGAUGAGUUUUUUAUGAAGAAAACUAAAUGUCAAAGUUAACCUAAAAUUUUUACUAUUUUUAUGUAUUCUUAAUGAGAAAAUUCUAAGACUAAAAUUAAUCCUAAAAUCUACUAAGUUUUAUCUUUAUUACUAAGAAAAAAGAAGGAAAGAAAAAAACUACAUCAAAAACUAAAUUCUAAUCAAUAGUUAAAACAUGCGAUUAGGGGGUGCACAUUGAAACUACUAGUGUGAUGAGUAACUGGCGUAGGCCCACAUGGUCAGGCCCAUGAUGAUUUUUUUUUUUACAGAUUUUAUGAUGCCAAAAAGUGUGCUAUUGGCCUAUGGGGGGUACAGAAGCAAUUCGGUGGCCCAGAUAUUAUUGAUGAUCCAAAUUCAAACUAACUCAGAUUUUUACAAUUCAAUUAAUCAAAUUAAUCACCAUUAACCACAGUUAAUCACACUUAAUACUCAAUUAAAACUAAUGUUAAUUAAAAAUAGUAAAAAGGGGAGUUUAGGGUUAAUACUGUGACCUUUGGAAUUCUAAGCGAGUCUUCUUCCUCUCUGCGCAAACGGCGAUGGCGGCGAAACUCAACCCGGCGAAAUCCUUCAGAUUGCCGUCAUGACCGGAAGCAAAUACGUCAACCUCCGAUCUCAUUCUCUCAUUUCCUUCGAUUAAGCAAUGGUGAUUGAAGAUUUGCGUGAAAUUAUUGCCGAGAAGAAGAUGAAUAGAAAAUGAUGUUAUGAAGAUGCGUUUGACGUGUUCCGCUGGCCGCUAACGCAUCGUGGUGUAGAUGUCGAAUCAGUGAGUGAUACUUCGGAAUUGAAGCGGAUCGAAGAGGAUGAUGACGAAGUGCGUGGGGAUGAUCGAAGGUUGAAACUUGAACUUGAGGAUCGGAGAAUUGAACUGCAGUUGAAGAUUGUCGUAGAACUCCUCAUUGAGGUUUGCUACCUUUUCUUGUUACUGAUUUUCUCUUUUUCGUUUGCAGAAUUGUGAUGAUGGUUGUUGAAUUGUUCUUGGUGUUAUGAACUGUUGUUGUUUGUAGCAGAUGUGUGGAGAUGGUUGUGGGGAUGUGAAUCAGACCGUUGAAGAUUGUUGAGUUUUUUUUUCUGGUUUCUCUUAUGAAGAUUGGUACAGAGAUGAAGGUGAUGAUGAAAGUGUGAUGAAGAUUCAAGAGCAGAGUUGAUUUCUGAUUGAAGAUGAUGUUGAUUUCAGAAGAUUGAAAGUAUGGGGAAGAUGAAGAAGAUAGAUGAAGAAUUGGAGAGGGUUGAUGGAUGUGAUCGAAAUCUGAAUUUUUCUAUUAUGGUUCUUGGUGAAUGAUGAAGGUUAUGCCAAACUGAAGAUGGAUAUGGAGAGAGAGAUUGAAGGGUGAUUGUGAUGGAGGAAACCGCCAAAUGGAGACUGAAGAAUUCUGGUAUAUAGGUUGAAGGAAGGUUGAGUCAGUUAUGAUAAAGGUUAGUUAUCUUUCUGAUUUUUCUGUUUUGAGUUAGUUAAAAAACUGUUAUGUGUUAGUUGAAGUCAGUUUUUAAAACUGUUAGGAGAUGUUAACACAGUUAGGAGGUUAGUUAGUUACAAGGGUGGAAAAGGUUAGUUAGGAUUCUGUUUGUGGCUUUUUAUGGAUUUAAGUUAGUUAGAACUGUUAUGAGAUGUUUGCAAGUUAGUUAUAGGAAUGGGUAAUGGAUGAAAGUUUGGUUUGCUAACUGGUUUAGAGAGUUCUGUUAGGAAAUGGUUAGGGUUAAAACUGAAUCUGUUAGUGGCGUAAGUAGUGAUAGCUUGUGUAACUAAUUUUGUUUGAGUUAGUUGGAGAAUUAGUGUGUUAGUACUAGGUUGUUGGUUUAUGCUUCUGUUUGGAUUUUACAGGACUCUGAAUUUGAUUUAGAUUUUCUCUGAUUUUCUCCCUUUUCUGUGCUGAAUCGAUGCAGGGUUGCUUUGUGAAUAAGCUGGAUUUUUUUGUUGAAUCUGCAUGGAGUUUAUAGAUGCCCUGCUUGUUCAAAUAACCAGGAUACAAAGUCAAAGAAAAAUGGGGACUUGAAUGAUUAGAAGCCUUGAAGCAAUGACUUUUAUUUCCUGAACUGAUGUCGUUUGCUGUCGGUUUCUAGAUGCCGUCUUUUGUCUGACUGUGUUGUGUUGUAGCAGGGAUUUUUCUUGUUUAAUUUUGGAUGGAAAAGCAGCAGCUUGGAGCACAUUGUAUGGCUCAGUUUUGAAUGCAUGGCGGUUCGGUUUCGGUUGGCAAGUGAAGUGGCUGCAAGUAUAGGCCUGAGAGUAAGAUGAAUACCGGUGAUGCCCACAAGCAAGAGCUCUGACCAAUGCCUUUAUAUUUCCCAAAUUUCGGACUCUUUGUAACUGAAUUUUUCUUUACUGCAAUGGUAGGCUUAGAUGUAUAAAUGUUGGGAAUUUGAUGUAUGUAUAUCAGAUUGAACAUUGAUAUAUGGAUCGAGAUUCUGAUUGGUGCUGAUAUUGUAAUUCCUUUUGACAAGUCUGAGCAUGGUUUUUCUCUUUGCAUGAAAUUCUCUAGCAUUAGAAGCUUCAUGAGGUUUGGAGAUUUGUGAUACAUAUGGUGAUGACUUCAAGGGGCUGGAAUGCAAAAGACUCUAAAGUUCAGAAGUGGAAUAGGUCCAGGGUGGGAGUUGACUUUGGUCAACUGUGUAACCAAAAAGUCAACAGUUGACUAAAAUCAACUAUAGGUCAAAAUAUGUAAAUCCUUGUAAUGGGAUAAAGCUUGAUUUUCUUGUAUUCUUUGUAAUGAUUGAUAUAUUUGCCAUCCUUCUUUUUGUAACAUGAUAUUUUUUCUUUUAAUGAAUUUUGAAUGAGGAAUAAUGUGCAUCUUGGAUAAGCUUUUGACGAUUCUGAAUGAUGGAUCUUGUAUGAAAAUACUUGAAGAUUCUUGAAUGAAUGAACGUGUUUUCCAUAACGCCUGAAUAUCCUUGUACAUGACAUUUGUCUUAAGUUUCAAGUAACUUGCUUCUCAAGACCUCAUCCACAAAUACUUAAUAACUUUGAUUAUCUUUGAACUCAAAUCCACUUCAAAUUUCGAUGAACAGUUCUAAUCAACCUGAUCUUCAAUGAAUCCUUUAAUUCAAUUCAAUUCACCAAUUCAAAACAGACUUGUGUAUCAAGCGACUAGCGUUAGCACGAAUGAUGCCUUAAGUACAAUGCAAUCUUCAAGUUCAUCCUCUUGUACCAUAGUUCAACAAUGAUCUCAAAGCAAAAUCACAAUGCUUUGAGGGAAACGCUGAUGAGAGAACCUAAUUCGAUGAUCCUCAGUUGGAAACCUUUUCAAGCUCAAACACAACAGGUGAAACCUUACCUUUGGUCAACCAUAGGGAAAUAAACCCUGAUCCCAUGCCUUUUGGCUUGAAGAACCAGAAGAACCAUGUCUCAAUCGCCAUGCACGCGUCAAUCUCAUUAUGAAACCCUAAGCUUCCGAAAUCCUUGAUCCCAUGCCCAAUUUAUUGAUCAAUGAUGCAUGAUAUGUUAUAUGACCUAAUGGAGAGGUGAUGCAUAUGAAAUGAGAAGCCUAAGCCAGUUAAAAAUUAAGGGGCAGGACAAAUUUGGGGUAUGACACCUGCAUCUUCAACUUCUUCAAAUCCAAUCAUUCUAAAAAUACAACAAAUCCCAAUCAGAUUUGAAUCAGAUUCAAUCAAGAAUUAAUUGGGUUAACCUAGGAUGCUGUCAUAUAUAUGUACAAGAAUUGCAGACAGAAAAGAGAGGAUUUUGCAGCCAAAAGCCAUAGUGGAGUUCUUGGAAAUUCAAAGAAAAAAAUCAAUUUCGAAUUCAAAGUGGCAGGCCAAUUUAAAGAGUUUUGAGGAUUCAAAUACAUCCCUGGAGCAUCCCUGAAGCUGACUCGUCCUCCAUAGGCAUCCAACAGGUUCAGAGUCAUCUUACAUAGGCCACGGUUUGUCAAGAAACGUUUCCAUUCGGUUACACCAAAUUACAUGUUAUAAAUGAUUUUUUAUUGUGUUUUUGAGUUUGUAUAAUUGUAUGGAAUGUUUCUGGGCUGGAAAUUUUGAGUUUUGUCACAGAUUGAGGAAUCCACCAUUGUUAGGUUAUUCAAGCUCUAAAUUGGGGAUCUUCAAAAUAGGUAGAAUUGGACCAUAUGAGGGGUAUCAUCGUGUUCGGCAGGGUGAUUGGAGUCGAGUCAUGCUGUUCUUUUUUAUUUAUUAAUCGUGUUUCAUUCAGAUCAAUUUCCAGGUGUGUGUGCAAUAGUAACGAUAUCGCGAAGAAGAAGAAGCUGUGCAGCUCCGCGCGCGUCCUUUUUUUAUUUUGAUUUUUGUUUGUUUCUUUUAUAUAUUUAGCAUUGGAAUCAUAAAAUGAACAGCAAGGAUAUGGUGUCCCAGCGGAGGCGUUUGUGUUUAUGACCCAUUGAGUCACCGGUUCGAUCCCUGGCUAGGGAUCUCUUAUUUUUUAUUUUCUUGUGUUUCAAUUGCCAUAAGUUUCAGUGUGCAUGCCCAAGUGUGGCUCACGGUACAUCCUCGUCAUCCUGGCCAUUGGAUCGUAUCCGGAUCAGAUCAAACGCACCAGAAUGUGCAUGCUCAUCAUGGAGCCUCAAAGACUAGUAACAUGGGAUCACAGCCAGGUUUCAAAAAUAUGAAGGAGGAUAGUUCGGUUGCAUCGUAGUGUCAGUGGCGAUUGAAAUCUAAUUUAGGGCAUAUGUGUUCUAAUCUUAGCCAUGGAGAAGAGUUGUGCAUGUUUCUUUAGCAAUGUGUCUCUUAAGGUGGAAGGUACCACAACCUUUGAACCAGUACUAUUGGCAAAAAUUUGAUUGCAUUUGAUUGCAGUACUAUGGUAAAGUGUUCCCAGACUAUAUACUUCUUUUUCCUCCUUUUGUUAGGCUAAGUGUCUGGGGUAGGUUCCUCACAGUUGAAAGGAGUGUCAUCACUUAUUGUCUCAUAGUUGGGUAUAUCACUCUAUUUGAAAAUUACAUAGUGUUCUUGAGAAUUAACUAGCCGGUUUUCAUGUAGUAUCUCGCCAUUUUCCAGCUCAUAGUGAUGCAACAUUUGAGAAUUAGCUAGUUGUCUAGGGGAUAGUGUCUCAAAAUUGGUUAGGUGAUGGUUGCGCAGUAUCUCAUAAUGGUCAAGAUGGGUGAUGGAAACUAUAUCAUAUUGAGCAAGAUGAUGAUGAUGAUGUACAGGUUUGAUGCCUCUGAUGUGACUGUCUUCAAGUUGUUCAUAACAUGGCAGUGGAUCACAAAUGGAUAGAGAUUCAUGUUAAGGGAAAUUAUCUUUGGGAAUUAUACGGAAAUCAGAAAAGUGAUGAUUAUGAGAGUGAGUUUCAGGAUGAGAAAGGUGAUUGUGAUUGUGGGAAAUCAUUGUGGAAGUGGACAACUCAUUUCUUGUCAUGGUUUCAGUCAUGACCAUAUCACUGAUGGUAUGUGCCUCUAAAAUGACCACCUCACUGCCUGUUGUGUUGCAAAUAUAAACCUUUCAAUAAUAUGUUAUGUUUCUAGUAAAGCUACAUCAUUGUUGUGUUGUGUUUUUAGUAGUGCCUCAUAAUCAACUCGUUUGAGGCAUCAACAUUGCUUGACUGUUCAUUAGGUAGUGAUUCUGAAUUUUUUGGCUUAUUAGUAGGAGGUUAUAAAGUGUUGUCCCAUUUUGAAAUAUAUGUAUAUAAAAAUACAAUCAAAUAUGCUUUUAAUUCUUCACUUGAUAAGAAAAUGUUAGGUGAUCUUAUAGGGUAAAUAAGACAAAGUAGUUCUAGACUUUGUUCUGUUUAGUUUAUUUCUCUCCCUCCAAGUAUGUUGAUGUAGCUGAAAUUUAGACAGAACUAGUGGCAUACUUAAAAUUUUGGGAGCACAUGAGCUUGAAUCUUCUUUGGAGGAAACACUAAUAGAAAUUUUGAUUGGUUAAUUUUUUUAUCACUUUUUUUUCUAUCCACUGGUCUAACUGUGAUGUUAUUGUGUAGCACAUUCAAAAAUAUUUGCAAGAUUUGAUUACUUUGGUUUCAGAAUUAUGGUUAGCAUUCUCUCUUCCAGCACCAACUCAUCUUUUCCUUGGCUAUCUGCAAUGUUGCAGGUACUUGACCUGGUAGAACAACUUUGCUUGGCUCUUAAUGAUGAAUUUGGGACAUAUCUACCAGUUAAUCAAUGACGCAGAACGGUGUAAUGAUUACACGUAUGUUCUUGAUGUUCUCCACACCCUAUAAACUUUUGGUGGCGAUGUCAAGAAACAAACCUGCAACAUAACAUGCUAUGACAGUGAUUCAUCUAGUUUGCUAAAGUUAAGAGCAACCUAGUCACAAGUGUUGCAAAGCCUUCCACUCAUGUUUUACUUGGAGAGCAUGUUGAAGAGGUAGUAGUUGUUGAUAAAAAAGAUGAGGAGUAGAAACAACGUAUUCCAAUUAAGGAACAAGAUGAAGAAGUUGAACAUAUUAGUCCCAUUAAGGUGUGCAACAAACUUGGAGAUAGAAGAAGUUGUCGCAAUAAAAAAGGCUAUGGAGGUAUAUGAUAAUAGGAUUGAUGCUAAGAGAACAGUAGGGAAUCAAACUUCUUUAUCAUAGAGAUCAUAUGAUAACAUAUGUGAUUGUUACAUAUAUAUUUCUAUGCAUGUGACUUUUUAAUAGAUAUAAUUUCUCUUGUUACAUUUA